GACGUAGGGCGCGAGCGUUGUCCGGAUUUAUUGGGCGUAAAGAGCUCGUAGGCGGCUUGUCACGUCUGCUGUGAAAACUGGAGGCUCAACCUCCAGCCUGCAGUGGGUACGGGCAGACUAGAGUGCGGUAGGGGAGAUUGGAAUUCCUGGUGUAGCGGUGGAAUGCGCAGAUAUCAGGAGGAACACCGAUGGCGAAGGCAGAUCUCUGGGCCGUAACUGACGCUGAGGAGCGAAAGCAUGGGGAGCGAACAGG
rnacentral:rRNA from 1 species